AUUCAACACUGUUCGGUGUGUAAUGGGACUUGUUUGCGGUGCAGUGAAUGGUUCUUUGGCGAUCACUGCCAGAAGACGUGCGGUCCCUGCAAGGAGAAUGAAAUCUGUCAUCGAAUGACAGGUGUUUGCACACGUGAUACAACAUGUACCUGUACAUCAUUAUACAUAUGGAUUGCGUUUGGUAUUUUUAUUGCGCUUGUUGUUGAAUUCUUCAUUUGGAUAAUUUUCAGGACUUUAACUGUAGGAUUCGUGCGAAGUUGCAAACUAAUUGGAUAAACGUUGAUGACAGUACACUGGAACAUUUGAGACAACCCGAUCCAGAGACUGACGAUAAAUCAACUACGGUCAAAAUGGGCUACAGUACAUCGGUGAUACAUUUCAUCAAAAGUGAUCCUAGCAGAAAAAGAACAUUAAGCGUUUAGAAAAAGUUGUGGAUGACAAAGCAAAUGACUCAUGAUCGUAUUCAGCUGUAAUCAACGGUAAUACUCCAUUGAAGGAUUAGCGGUGUCAUGAAACAAACAAAUGAGUUACACAUGCCACAUGGGUAAUAACCUUCAAUUAAACAAAAUAUCUUCUGACAUGGACAGUCUCAUGUAAUAAAAAAAAUCUUAUUUA